AAGAAUCUUGUAACUUACAAUUAGAAUAAAUUCUAGGUCGGUCUAUGACGUAUUAUAGCGAUCGAUAUAUUUUUAAUACGAUAUAAGUACGUCAAAGAGAGUGAUGAAGUCAUUCUCAGAAAUAAAAGCACUCCGUCAGACACGGAAGCACCUUUGACUGUUUAGCAUUUGAUCGAUAGGAUAUAAAGCAGUGUUUCAUACUAUAAGCGAAAUGUAUCAUUUCUGGAAAUAUACAGAAACAAAAAAAAAUCAAAUCUUAUCUGUGCGUAAUCGAGCAAAAUUUAUCAUUAAAAUUUGUUAUAUUACAUUAUAUCUAAAUUGAUCGAGUAUUAUUUCAAAAAUGGAGGCAACAAUAAGAAUAUUAUUUGAUAGCAAUACUAACAUAAGUGAUCUCUAUUAAAAAAUAAAAGAAAACAAUAUUUUCAAUAUCAUCGAUUUUUUAUUAUUACACGAAAAGGUGGAAAUAGAUGUCUUGAGGAGGGGUUUAAGGUUUUGAAGAAAGAAAGGCAGGUGACCGGAUCGAUUCUACAAUACGAUCGUGUAUAAAGACCUAUGUAAAAAGAGGAGCAAAAGGAGGAGAAGGAUGAGAGAAAGAGAGAAAGAGGAGGAAUAGAGUUGCGUGAAUAACGUGUGUUGAACGAACGUAUUAUACCUAUAACAACCGCGAAUACAUGAGCGCAUGCGUAUUGGAAAAAGACAAGUUGCCUAGGACACUAUGAUGGUGUACGAGGUGGUGGUGGUGGUACAACGUUACGAUACGACGCGUCGUUGGGACGUACGAAAAGAAAGAGGGUGCAAGGAAUUGUGACGCCGUAGUCAGAGCAACCCGUCGAACAGCGGCGUAUCGUGUAAGCAGUAUUUACGGAGCAGACCGCGAGCUAAGGUUGUUCUCUUUUUCGAUCCGCUCUUUGAUCUGUUCUCCGAUCUACGUGUACAAUUCUCGUAAGUGUGAUAUUUGCGAUUAGGAUGACAAAUGUUGUUUAUUCGUAUAAAAAUGAAUAAUGACAAUAUUCAUAAAACUUCUAUCGAGUUUAAAUAAAGUUACCAUCGAGUAUAUUUUCUAUUAUUAAGAAAAAGUGAAUACCAUUUGGAAUCUAAAAUAUCUUAAUAUACCGUUGUAAUCAUAACGAUUUAUGUAUAUCGGUUGUGCAUAUACAUAAAAGUGACUUUAGUUUUAUCGACAAUGUUAAAAACAGUUUGUCUCUACGGCUUUUUCCGAAGCAACAAUUUACUACUAUUCCAAGCCAACCAAUCGAUCGAUCAUAGCUGACCUCGUUAAGAACGUAAAAAUAGCCUUUUCGUUUAUUGUAUAGGGAUUAUAUAUAUAUGAAUCCAUUCGGACAGCUUGAAUUUUGGCAUCGUAAAUUGAUUAUCGGCACCCCCUGAACGACAUCGAAUACUUUCUGGUGGCGUUGAGAUAAUAAAAAGUAAACAGAUGAAUCAACUCCUGUAUACAGGAGGGCAAUAUAUACAGGGCCGUAAAGAACGAAUAGGGAGAAACGGUGAUGCGCGAAAGAAAAGAGAGAGAGAGAGAGAGGUGUUCAUGCGAAAAAAUGGAGUGUCUCUAUUUUGGGAAUCGGAUUGGCGGCGGUGACGCGCACAACCACCACUGUAAAAAUGUACACAUGGCGGCUGAUGCACUUUUCUUGCACGACCUUCGACUUGUUCGUUAACUUGAAGAAAAAUAAUGCUCGUCAUCGUCGUUGUUGACACGCCGUGGACCGAUAUAACAAGAAGAGGACGAGAACGAACAAAGGAAUCAUGAAUCAGACACACAUUUAUGAACCAAAGAAUAAAAAUAAGAAAAAGAAAGAA
rnacentral:lncRNA from 1 species